GUUAUCCCAAAGUGAUCGUCACAUACUUUAUUUUUGAACCUACAUCAUUUUCGAGGGAGUCUGAUUGUUCGCUAUCAGAUGUCGGGCCGCAUAAUAUCAGCGGAAGGCAAAAGCUAGAGACAAGACACCCACCUGGCCUAGGCUAGGGCGUCAAAAAUAGAGGACGUCACAAUGGGAUAAGC
rnacentral:other from 1 species